AAGACUUUGUUUGGGUCAACCCAAAUUUACAACCACACCAAUUUUACAUCACACAAUAGUCUUAUACACCUUAUCACCAGAAGACUCUCCUCCAAAAUUUCAUUACUCACACUCUUUUACUCUGCAAAACUGGAACUGUUUUUCUUUUGAAGAAGAUAGAAAGAAACAGAGUCUUUUGCGUCCGCUCCUCUCACACCUCUACUUAAACCCGACAACGGGAUCCGUCCGAUUGCAGUAGGCACUAUAUGGAGACGCAUGGUUUCCAAGGUUGGCAUGAAAGGUGUGGGUAAAGAAAUGGCCAAGUACAUUAAUGAUUUUCAGUUCGGGGUUGGUGUAUCCAGCGGUGCUGAGGUUAUGUUACACAUUGCCAAUAGGGUGUUGAGUGAACACCAUGCUGAUGGGUCUCUUGUAAUGCUGACUGUAGAUUUCUCGAAUGCCUUUAACCUGGUAGAUCGAUUAGCAUUGCUCCACGAGGUUAAGAAGAUGUGCCCUUCCAUUUCUUUGUGGGUGGAUUUCUUGUACGGGCAAGCAGCGAGGCUUUAUAUCAUAGACCAACAUAUAUGGUCUGCCACUGGGGUGCAGUAAGGUGACCCCUUGGGCCCUCUUCUUUUUGCCCUCGUUUUGCACCCGCUUGUACACAAGAUUAGAGACAAUUGUAAGCUCCUUCUCCAUGCUUGGUAUCUAGAUGAUGGGACUAUCAUUGGGGAUUCAGAGGAGGUGGCUAGAGUGUUGAACAUUAUUUGAUUGCAUGGUCCAAGUUUGGGUCUUGAGUUGAACAUCAAGAAAACAGAGAUUUUUUGGCCCUCCUGUGAUGGUAAGAAUCUUCGUGCCGAUUUAUUCCCAACGGACAUAUGGAGACCUCCAUUUAGGGGUGAAGCUUCUUGGGGGGGGGGGGGGGGGCUGUUAGUAGAGACGCAUGGUUUAUUAGCGGGAUGACCAUGAAGAGAGCGAUCAAUGUUGUUGAUUUGAUGGGCCUUCUUCCACAACUAUGUGACCUGCAGAGUGAGCUCCUUUUGCUUCGAUCAUGUAUGGGCAUUACAAAACAUUUCUUUGGUUUAAGCACAUGCCAGCCGAUACAUAUAGAAGAGGCAGCUUUGUUCUUUGACAAAGGAUUGCGCAGGUCUAUCGAGGAUAUGGUGGUAUGUGGAUGCCCCUUCUUUGGAGACAUUCAGUGGCGCUUGACUUCCUUACCUAUUCGUUUCGUUGGUUUGGGUUUGUACUCGGCAUACGAGGUUUCUUCCUACACAUUUGUAGCCUCGAGGGCCCAAUCUUGGGGAUUACAAGACCACAUCUUACGUGACAGUGGCGUAUGUAGUAUGGACUCGGAUUACCUAUGUGUUAUGAAUCGUCUUCGCAAUACAAUUCCGGGAUUUGACUGUAACAGUUUCACUAAUAAGCACACUGCCCCCCCUAAAUCCCAAAAAGCUUUGGCGUGUGCCCUUUUUAGCAAAAUCGUCAAAGAUAUGGAAGUCGACUUCGACAUGACUGUCAGACAUAAAGAAGUCUUUGAGUGUCUGUGGGCAUCUCAUGCUCAGGAUUUUCUGCUAACUAUCCCUAUUGAUGGUCUUGGCCAACAUAUGUCUCCUAUGCAGUACCGAACUAUCAUUCGGUACCGUUUCAUGAUUCCCAUAUUCCCAAUUGACGAGAUAUGCCUAGUUUGCCGCAAGGAAUGUUUGGAUACCUUAAGGGAACACGAGGUUCAUUGUAGAGAGCUCCCUGGUUUCAAGUACAGACAUGAUAUAUUUUGGGAUGUUCUCUUUGAUGCUUGUUGACGUCCUGGUAUUUCUAUGAAGAAAGAAGCGCUGGUGAACUAUUUGACGGACCCCGUAGGAUGGAAGGUCCACGCUUUGAAAGCCGUUGCGUGCAAAGUUGUAAAGCAUGAGAAUGCAUGUAUAGAAAAUCAACAUGUGUUUGUUCCUUUUGCAUUCAAUACAUUUGGUUUUCUCGCACCAGAAGCGGUGGAGCUCCUCAAUAGAGUCCAAUGGGUCAUGCAUUCUAAUGUCAUAUCUCCUAGAUCCACAAAUAUUAUUUUCAAAAGAAUUGGUUUUGUCAUCCAGAAAUGGCUAACGGCGCAGCUUGUUGCCCGUUUGCCUUCAAUCGAUAUGUAUUGAACUUUAAAAUUAAAAAAUAUGUGUAUAAAGAGAUUUUAAGUUUACCAUUAAAAUGUUGUUCUAUAUAUAUAUAUAUAUAUAUAUAUAUAUAUAUAUAUAUAUAUAUAUAUAUAUAUAUAUAUAUAUAUAUAUA